ACGAAGGGGGCUAGCGUUGCUCGGAAUCACUGGGCGUAAAGCGCACGUAGGCGGCUUGUUAAGUCAGGGGUGAAAUCCUGGAGCUCAACUCCAGAACUGCCUUUGAUACUGGCGAGCUUGAGUUCGGGAGAGGUGAGUGGAACUGCGAGUGUAGAGGUGAAAUUCGUAGAUAUUCGCAAGAACACCAGUGGCGAAGGCGGCUCACUGGCCCGAUACUGACGCUGAGGUGCGAAAGCGUGGGGAGCAAACAGG
rnacentral:rRNA from 1 species